GUUGGGUGUUUGGAGCUUUCUUGAGUUCUUGAUCAAGAAGAAAAAGGGAGAAGAAGAGAAAAGAAUGGUUCUUCUCUUGGAUUUUUCUUUUGAGUUUUUUUGGAUCUCAAAAUUUUAUAUAAUCUUUAAUAUGAAAAAUCAGAUUAGAUCUAAUUUUUAUCAUAGAAAAUUAUAGAAAAAAAAAUUUCUCAAGGGUGUGAAAGAAAGAGGAAACGAUUCUCUCUUACAUAUGAGAAAUUGAGAAGAAAGGAUUCUUCUCUUGAUUUCUAUUGUAGAGAUC
rnacentral:lncRNA from 1 species